GACGAACGCUGGCGGCGUGCUUAACACAUGCAAGUCGUACGGUAAGGCCCUUUCGGGGGUACACGAGUGGCGAACGGGUGAGUAACACGUGAGUAACCUGCCCACAACUUUGGGAUAACGCUAGGAAACUGGUGCUAAUACUGGAGAUGUGCUCCUGCUGCAUGGUGGGGGUUGGAAAGCUCCGGCGGUUGUGGAUGGACUCGCGGCCUAUCAGCUUGUUGGUGGGGUAGUGGCCUACCAAGGCGGCGACGGGUAGCCGGCCUGAGAGGGUGACCGGCCACAUUGGGACUGAGAUACGGCCCAGACUCCUACGGGAGGCAGAAGUGGGGAAUAUUGCACAAUGGGCGCAAGCCUGAUGCAGCAACGCCGCGUGCGGGAUGACGGCCUUCGGGUUGUAAACCGCUUUCAGCAGGGACGAAGCUUUUUGUGACGGUACCUGCAGAAGAAGCACCGGCUAACUACGUG
rnacentral:rRNA from 1 species